rnacentral:lncRNA from 10 species
CAGGAACAACUCUCCUCGUGACAAGCAGCAAAACAAGUGGAGGUGGAUACUGUGACUGAAUGAACUCCUACACUCUGCACACCUGUGAACACCCAAAGCUGAGGAGAAGACCUAAGACUUGGGAAAAUGUACCCUAUGGUCAACCCUCCCCUUCCAACAGGGCAGCCAGCGGGAACUGUGACUACAGAGCCCAAUCUUCUUGUUUCCUAAUGUGGUGCUGAAAUCUGCACCAUGGGGUAGUGACCCCACAAAGAAGCCAGGCAAUUACAUAUGUUGGUUCAUUUCAUUAGUUUAUGGAAAUAAAAUGCAUACAACUGUUUGCUGAUAAAUCAUCCCAUUUAGUAUCUAUUACUUUGCAAAAUGUUUUUUGUUCAUGUUUGGUUUACUCAAUAUUUUUCCUUGUUUUUGAGACAAGGUCUCACUCUGUCACCCAGGCUGGAGUGUAGUGGUGUGAUCAUGGCUCACUGCGGCCUCAACCUCCUGAGCUCAAGUGGUCCUCUCACCUCAGCCUCCAGAGUAGCUGGGACCACAGGUGUGCACUGCCUUGCCUGGUUCAUUCGUUCUUUUAUUUAUUUAUUUUUUUUUUGAGGCAG